CGAGGCCAAGGAAGACAGACGAUGGUGAAAUGGCAAGUUCCAGAACCCAUCCAACACCGUCAACGUCAUCUUCGGCGGAACCCUGGGUACUGCUACUAAGCGGUCCAAGAAGCCCACUCUUCGAGAGAUAAUGUCCAUUAAAUCUGUGACCCCAACGUUCCUCAAAUGGUUCGAGGUGCUAAUUACGUUCUCCAAGAAGGACCAAUGGUCUAGUUUCUCCGACCCAGGACGGUAUUCCCUUGUCCAAG
rnacentral:lncRNA from 1 species